rnacentral:lncRNA from 1 species
CAAUACUUCACAUUUUAAUGGUUAGCAUACACAAGAACUUUAAACACAGUAUAAACACAGGUCAAGCAAGCCUCACAAGGCCCCUUUUAUACUGCAUAAGUAUAAUUAUUACCAAUAAGAGAUCAAAGAUAGAUCCUACAUAUCACUCAGUGACUUGAACUCACAGUGACAGCAACAAAUAUUCAUAGAGUUAUUCACACUGCAGAUGGAUGCAAGGUCAGGCUUUUUCCAGUGCAGUGGAGCAAUGGAAAAGGCUGCCUCAGUCACCAAGUCUUUCAAAUAUGUAUGCUGUAUGUAUGUGUAUAUAUAUAAAUAUACACACAUGCUAUAACCUGAGCCUUACUACAAGCUUCCUGCUCUGCCAUACUGUGUGUGCCCACCCCAGAUGACUGAAUCUGUUGAAGCUAUAUCAAUCUUCUCUGAAGCAUUUCACAUACAUGUUAGCACUAAAACACUCUAGUAAAUAAUCACUCUCAUAAACAGAGACGGGCUCUUUUCAAACUUUUUCCAUUAUAGCUGUAUAAAAUCUGUUGUUCAGUAAAUGUCACAUAGCACCAGGUUUUGUUCUGUCCAGCAUAACUCAGGCGUUCUGUAGGAAACUCAGGCAUUAGCAGUUCCAAGCUAUUCUGUGCAUCUCAACUCUCAACAUCAGCUGGAGCAUCUAUCUCACAAAGAUGUCAGAUGACCUCUUAGUAACUCUUCUUCUAUUGAUGACCACUAUCAGGUUACAAGAACACUGGAGUAGCAAGAUAGCCAUCAUGUUAAAGAUUAUCCUCUUCCAGGGAGUAAAUUUUUUCAGUGCAUCAAAGGCACUCUGGACUGGAAGACUGUUUGUUUGUGUGCAGAUGUUUAUUUGUGUGAAGGCAUGACACUGCAAAAAGAGAAUAUAAGUACAAUAAACAGAACACAAGUAUCUCAACUAAAGAAACAGAACAGACAGAGCAAAAGAAUGCAGAAUUUCUUUGAAACAAAAGCAUUGAGAAGGGAACAAGAUAUUUUUAAGAAACACAUGGAAAAAAUAUGCCAAAAGAUCAACCCAUUAAAAUUCUCUCUCACUGUAACUCUUAAAAAUGGAAAAGAUGUCAUAGAACAAGACUGUCACUUUCAUUACAAUGUAUUGUCAUGUGUUCAGGCAAUGCAAUCCCUCUGUAAAUCUUAAAAUCCACCAAGUGAUUCAUGGUUUCUACUGUAUGUAAAACAUACUAAAGUCACCACUAUGGAAAUGAGGAACCACCCUCUGAAGGUUUUAGCUGUAUUUUUAUUGUUUUCCUUUUCUAGCAAUGAAUGUCAGUACCACUGAAUUACUUGCCUUUCACAUUACUCUAUUCACAGAUAAGAGAACUCAUGCUCCUUGGGGCAAAAGCCUAUCAUCCAUAGACUAAACAGGCAUUUUGCUGUUGAGUACAACAAAAACAAUGGAGCAAAUUCUCAUUUGGCUAAGAGCAUGUUUAUCCUGCAAUGACUGCAACCAACACCAAACAUAACAACACUUCAUUUGACUACUAAUGUCACAAACCCAAAGGAGCUGCAUGAAUGAUCGUGGUUAAUCUCUGCUGAGAGUUUUGCUGCUGCAGUUCCAUUUUCAACAAUGCAGCCAAGCUAUCCUGAUCAUAUGCAAUGUUACUUAAAGACUGCUUGAUAUAUAACCUAAAUUAUGUCUACCUGGCUAAAAUAUUAAGUCAUGUUUUCUGCUACAGCCACCCCACUUUGUCCACUCAGGGUUCAAAUUCGUGUACACUGAUACACAAGCUCUCACCCAGCUUCAAGUGAAGCAGAAAUAGGCCCUGUGCUUCAUUCAGCAUGAUCAUCCGGAAGAAGCACUAAUAGUCAAUGUGUAUAACACAAGCCAACAAAUGGGAUGACAUGUUAGGCAGCAAAAAUGAUCAAUUACAAGCUCGCGCUUGGAAGUAGUUUAUUAGCUAACCAUCAGAUGUCCUGCUUUUCAUUGCAAAGACAUCUCAACCAUUGCAACCUUUUUAGUAGUCCAAGGCUUGCUACCUUCAUGCCCAGCUGCUUUAUAUGAGGUAAGAACAUGUGGAAAGGAUGGGCCAUACAGAACCCUGUGGUACUUUUAUUAGUAUCUUCUAAAUAAUAUUUUAAUAGUAUUUUGAAGGGGAAUGAACAGCUGGGUUCAUAUGUGUGAAAAAUAUUGACCAACAGAAAUGCUUUAUAUGUAGCUCACAAAAUGCCUCAAACUCUGUAGUAGCUAUGUCCUAACAUUUUAGACUGUCUUGCCCAUGGAUAGGUGCUCUGUUGGUAGCAGACUUUGCAAUAACUUUAGGCUUUGGCUCAGAAUGAUCGACUGCAUGGACAUUAGGUGGCUUAGACCUUGAUUUAUUUGUGGCAUUCGUCAGUUCUCAUGAACUUCCAAUGGAGCUUUGAGUCUUCCUGUCUUUCACAGUUAGCCUUUAGAGGCUAAAUUUUCUAAGAUAUUGGGAUAAUACUCCCAAAAGGACUAUAUAUCUUUCCUCAAAUACUCCUCUAUGGUUUCAACAACCCUAUGGAGGCUGGUUUCUAGAGAACUUGUGCUAUUAUCUGCUGUCAGUCCUGACAUUAGAUACCUCUAAUGUCAGUACCUUUCCUAUCUCUAGAUCACCUAUUUUAUUAUUCAGUAGCAUUACUGGCAAGACAGAGGUACACAAACAGUGAAAAGGAAAAAAUGAUAAGGUCUGAAUAGUAAUUGUCUCUCAUGUGCGCAAGUAUCGGUGAUGGAUCGUCCAAAUACAGCUGAGAGAAAUCUGGUGUUAUUUACAGAUCCAGGGGAAAAAAGAAACAAACCAGACAAACCCACACCUGCCACAGUACAUUACUGGUUGGUGAACCCUCCUGAAAUAAGACUACUAAUAAAACAAGUAUGACAUUUUAUCCUUAGAGAAAAUUGCUUUGAGGAGGGAACAUUGUAAGAAGCAUGUAAAUUCUGGAGGCUGUUCGAGAAAAUGCAGUAGGUAACUGCCCACCUUAGAAACGGUCAAGAAGAGGUAGGCUGUUUGUACCUUUACAAAGGUACAAUGGCAUCCCACAU